rnacentral:rRNA from 1 species
UACGUAGGGGGCGAGCGUUGUCCGGAUUUAUUGGGCGUAAAGAGCGUGUAGGCGGCCAGGUAGGUCUGCUGUGAAAACUCGAGGCUCAACCUCGAGACGUCGGCGGAAACCAUCGUGGCUAGAGUCCGGAAGAGGAGAGUGGAAUUCCUGGUGUAGCGGUGAAAUGCGCAGAUAUCAGGAAGAACACCCGUGGCGAAGGCGGCUCUCUGGGACGGUACUGACGCUGAGACGCGAAAGCGUGGGGAGCGAACAGG